rnacentral:rRNA from 1 species
CAGCUUGCUGUUUGGUGAGAGUNGGCGAACGGGUGAGUAAUGNCGUGACCGACCUGCCCCAUGCUCCGGAAUAGCUCCUGGAAACGGGUGGUAAUGCCGGAUGUUCCACAUGAGCGCAUGCGAUUGUGGGAAAGAUUUAUCGGCGUGGGAUGGGGUCGCGUCCUAUCAGCUUGAUGGCGGGGUAACGGCCCACCAUGGCUUCGACGGGUAGCCGGCCUGAGAGGGCGACCGGCCACAUUGGGACUGAGAUACGGCCCAGACUCCUACGGGAGGCAGCAGUGGGGAAUAUUGCACAAUGGGCGCAAGCCUGAUGCAGCGACGCCGCGUGAGGGAUGGAGGCCUUCGGGUUGUAAACCUCUUUUAGCAGGGAGCAAGCGUUAGUGAGUGUACCUGUUGAAUAAGCACCGGCUAACUACGUGCCAGCAGCCGCGGUAAUACGUAGGGUGCAAGCGUUAUCCGGAAUUAUUGGGCGUAAAGGGCUCGUAGGCGGUUCGUCGCGUCCGGUGUGAAAGUCCAUCGCUUAACGGUGGAUCUGCGCCGGGUACGGGCGGGCUGGAGUGCGGUAGGGGAGACUGGAAUUCCCGGUGUAACGGUGGAAUGUGUAGAUAUCGGGAAGAACACCAAUGGCGAAGGCAGGUCUCUGGGCCGUUACUGACGCUGAGGAGCGAAAGCGUGGGGAGCGAACAGGAUUAGAUACCCUGGUAGUCCACGCCGUAAACGGUGGAUGCUGGAUGUGGGGCACGUUCCACGUGUUCCGUGUCGGNGCCAACGCGUUAAGCAUCCCGCCUGGGGAGUACGGCCGCAAGGCUAAANCUCAAAGAAAUUGACGGGGGCCCGCACAAGCGGCGGNGCAUGCGGAUUAAUUCGAUGCAACGCGANNANCCUUACCUGGGCUUGANNNGUUCCCGACAGCNGCAA